rnacentral:rRNA from 1 species
UACGUAGGCAGCGAGCGUUGUUCGGAAUUACUGGGCGUAAAGAGUGUGUAGGCGGUGCUCUAAGUUCGGUGUGAAAUCUCCUGGCUCAACUGGGAGGGUGCGCCGGAAACUGGAGUGCUUGAGCGUGGGAGAGGAAAGCGGAAUCCUGGUGUAGCGGUGAAAUGCGUAGAUAUCAGGAGGAACACCUGUGGUGUAGACGCUUUCUGGACCAUAGCUGACGCUGAGACACGAAAGCGUGGGUAGCAAACAGG